GCCGCAUCCCCGCUGAGCUCCACGCGCGGCAAUUCCUCGCCGCCGCCGCCGCCUCCGCCUCCGCCUCCGCCUCCGCCGGUGGGCUUCCUCACCACCGGCGAACUCUCCUAUCCCUCGAAUUCGUCGCCGAUCCGGUCCUGUCCUGCUACGCAAGUCCGGGCUUACCAAGCUGCUUCUCAUCACCUAAGCCGUCCUCAACAGUGCCUCCCCGCCCCCGUUCUGCCGCACCCAGCAAGCUCUCCUCUCAAUGGCACAACCAAGUGGCAGUGAAUCCAGUGGUAGGGGAAAAGACAAUGAUGACUUAACUCCUAUCCCCUUCACUCUUCAUAGAGAUGAUAACACUAGUCUGCGUUAUCUCUAUUUAGAGAUGCCUUCUGGUAUGGAAGGCAUCUUCAAAAGUAGCGCUUU